rnacentral:rRNA from 1 species
UACGUAGGGGGCUAGCGUUGUCCGGAAUCAUUGGGCGUAAAGCGCGUGUAGGCGGUCCGGUAAGUCCGCUGUGAAAGUCGGGGGCUCAACCCUCGGAUGCCGGUGGAUACUGUCGGGCUUGAGUACGGAAGAGGCGAGUGGAAUUCCUGGUGUAGCGGUGAAAUGCGCAGAUAUCAGGAGGAACACCAACUGCGAAGGCAGCUCGCUGGGACGUUACUGACGCUGAGACGCGAAAGCGUGGGGAGCGAAUGGG